rnacentral:lncRNA from 1 species
AAUCAAUACUUUGCCCAUUUCCCAAAAUGUAGGAGACUCCCCAGCUAAGUUUAUUUAUUAAUGAAAUAAACGAAGCAGGUAGUGUGCUACCUAUCUCUCACAAAAAAAAAAAACCUAUAGUAGAGGAUUAUUGCAUCAUAUUUUCAUGGAUAAACUUCAGUUACCACUCUUGUGAAAGUAUAAAACUACAUGAGUGGUAUUUGAAGUUUUUUCUAUUUUU